CGGCCCCGCAGCGACCGCCCAGCCGCGGGCGCGGGCCGGAGCCUCCCCCGGGAGCCGCAGUAAGCGCCGAGAAUUUGUGUGAUUGUCUCUGACCCAAUCCUACUGCUGAUGGACUCAGAAGCAAGGAAAAGUGCUGUGCAAUGAAUGAGUUUAAAGAUCACACACACUCCUGUACUCUUCCUCCUCCUCCUCCUCCUCCUCCUCACUCGGAAGCUGCCGAUUCGGAGGCGCCUCGGAGCCCCCAGGCUGCCGCCUCCUCAGCCCUGCAAACCAGACCGGACGCAGCCGUGCCGUGACUCUCCGAGCAGCAAGUACCGGCAGUUCACCACAGAAGCCCUAAGCAGCCGAGAGCCUAAGCGGGCCGAAAAUGGGAAAAAGGAGUUCAAAAGCCUCCGCGCCCUUGAGAGGCGCUCGGAGUUUUGCCACUGAGGUGCGUCCUCCAAGGCUUUCCACCGCCGCCUCCGAGGGACGAGCGCCGCCGAAGGAACGCGCAGAGGACCAAGGGCAAAGCAGAAGGCAGGCUGCAGAGCCAGGAGAAAGAGGACAAACCCGAAAGAGCCCCGGAAACGGAUACGGCCCGUGGGACCACGCGUUUACGAAACCUGAGUUCAGAGCACAGGACGCUUCACUUUUACCGGGACACUAGAGAGAAAAAUCGGUCUCUGUGCGAGCUGUGGAAUGACAAAACCGUAAAACAAACUGUCUGGUGGUUUUGGAUGGCAUUCCUGCCGUGCAAGGCUUUGUGUUGCCUUUGCAUUUAUAAGAACUAAAUUGAUGCUAAUUAGAAUAAUAGUAAUUUUACUUGAAGGAGACAGGUGGGCUGAGAGGCUGUUUAUUCUCCUGUUAACCACUCUCCUCUAAAAACACAAAUACCGUUGGGAGAAUCUUAAUUUCACCCAACUGGCACUUCGCUAAAUUUGGCACCAUGAUGUAACUGUGGUCAAAAUCUCAGAAAACACAUUAAAGAGAUGGGCAGUAGCUCUCAAGUGCAGAUCUGUCCCAGCUACCACUAUUUAAAUACUUUUUGAGCACUGUAUUUCAGUUUUUCUUAAUAUAUCCAUCUUUAAGGGUAACUGAAAUUUCUUGGGAGGUGGAAGGCAUCCAAUUUGUGUAGGCAAAGUUUGUGUUUAAGGUAGGUGAUGGAGAAACAAAUGAUCUGAAUCCUAUUUCUGAAUUUGUGUGACUUUAGCUCAUUUUAGUUCUCUGAGACAUGGCAAAACAUAUACAAAGCUCACUGCUUCAAAGAUUACAUUUCUUAGAAAUAGAAAUGAGUUACUUUUUUACUUUUUUUUUUUAAUUGGGCUUUAGUGCUUUUCUGUCUCUUUACAGGAAUACAAAGCUUUUUUAGUCCAUACCAUUUCUUGAGUUAAAAUAGUAUCAUAAGAAGUAACAGGAGUGAGAGGUCAGGCUCUUUGUGAAAGACUACUGUAAUGUUUACUGCUCAUAAAAAAUAACUAGGUAUAUAUUCUUAAGGCCUUAUGUGGACUGUGCGCAUGAGGGUGUGGAACUCUAGACAAAGUCUUUCUUUAUUCAACCUGUUACCAAGUUAUUGAAGUUAAAUUGGUCUUGACAGGAACAAACAAAAAAAAUUAUACUUUUAAAGCAGAAUGAGUUAAAAAAAAAUAAACCCAACACACAUUUCCUCUGGGAUAAAUCUGGGUAAACACUCUGCCACAACAACGUGCAGCUCACUCUAGCAGGCUGGCAAUCCUACUAAGUACCUAAAUUAACUGUUGAGAAGGAGCCCCAGAUAAUCCCAAAAGGCCGUAAAAAGUGGAGACAUUUGUGGCUGCUUCCACUCUAACCCAGGCCAAAAACAUGCAAAAACCUGAGACCCCUGCCCACUGCUCAGAGGGACAGCUGUCCGGUUUCAGAUGUAUCUGCUUUGCUGGUCAAAAAAAGAAACUAGAUGGCUACAUUAAAACCUUCACCAGAACUUAGAAUCUCUCUUACUCAUGUGGUCUAUCUAGAAUAAAGUUUAUUAACAAAAAAAGCUUUUCCUGCUUAUUGUGAAGAGCUAGUUUUGCCAAACGAGGAUCUUCAGCUUCAGAUAUCAUCACUGGCAUCUCGAUAGGAUUUGCAGUCUCACAUAAUUUAAAAAUGUGUUCCAAAUAUAGGUCAAAUGGUUAACUGACUUUUAAACCCUUAUGUAAGGCCCUAAACCUGCAUAUUUCUGUUUUACAUGGACAGAACUGGAAACACAAUACAACAACACAGCUUUCUUUCAAUCGGGCAUAGACUGGAUUCCACGUGUACAUUCAUAUUAGAAGAAUCUCCUAAUUUGGAUUGACACUACCAGAAUUGCAUCUUUUUGUAUAAUCCUAAACGCAUCUAUUUUGAAU